rnacentral:sRNA from 1 species
UGUGGAACCUCUUUGGACUGUCCACAGCAGCUGACUAUGAUUUGCCUCAUGCUCUAGCAGAGGCAAGGUUUUACCUGCUGUAGAUAGUUUCUACAAUUGUGUAAUGUUUGGAAUUCUAGGAAGUUUUCAGAGGGUAUAGAAAUGCUAGAGCUCCUUUAGGCGGGGAGGGUGGCUGUUGUUCAUUUAAUGAGGUUGGUUGAAGUUUUUUAGUAGCAUGGUCAAGAAGAAACAAUUUAGAUGCAGAGAUUUUGCUAAUUUCUCUCUCUCCUCUCUCCGUGUUUCUCUCCUUUCUAGUGUUAGGGGUUGAAACAGGGAUUAAUGGGUAGGAAAAAGAAGAACCCCUGAAGAAGGAAAGACAGGCUACGCUGAUCAGCAUCUGGAUUAGAUGUGCCUUUAACUUACAUCUUCAGGCCUGGUUGGAUUUGUCAGGAUAUAAGGACAUUGAAAAUCAAUGAUUCCAGAACAAUCACGAGGACUUCUAGCACACCCAGACUGAUCUGCAGAAAAAUUGAAUCCAUUUCCUGGAAAAGGUAAUUUUUAAUUAACCCUUUCAUCCAAUAAGCACAAACAGUAAAAAUGCAGUGACUAAGUCAUCAAAAAAUAUAGCAGAAGGGAGAGUCCUUACUUUAAGGAAUUAAAAAAAUCUAACUGAGGAUAAAAUGCAACGGAUGAGAGCUCAUCUUGGCAAGGACUGUCCAAAGACACAGGACUUAAUUCUGAGAAUGUGAUUUCUAAGGGGAAAAGAAAAUGGGGUGGUUGUUGGCAGCACAUGCUGCCAAGAUUGACCAUCUGGCUGCCCAUGACCUGUGAUGUGUAUCUGCACAAUCAAUCAAUCAACCAAUCAGUAAAUAAAUGGAAACAAAGUUUAACGGGGAACCAGGAGUAACUUAAGGAUUUUUCUCAACCAAUUUUUUUCAUUGUUGUAGAAGUCCCAUUCAAUGCAGCAAGAUCAGAGAAUAUGGAGUGGAGAGAUGGCUCAGUCAUGAAGAGCACGUAUUGUUAUGGAAGAGGACCUGAUUUCAAUUCCCAGCACCCACCUUGGUGGCUCACAACUGGCUGUAACUCCAGUUCCACAGAAUCUACCACCCUUGAUUUACCUUCUCACGGACCAAUGAGUGCACGUGUGGACAUGUCCACAGGAUUUUCUGUAGCCUGUGAGGAAGUCCUAGAUUUAGGACACUGGAUCUGUACACCUUAGAGAAUUAACCACUUCACUGCAUUUUUUUUUGUUUUUUUUGUUUUUUUUUGGUUUCUGUUUUUCUUUUGAGAUAUCACUGUGGGAGCAGAGGAAGCCCCAAGGAAGUGAAGCCCUGAGUGGAUGUGUGCAGUAAGCAUGAGCAUGUCCAUGCCAAGGACACAAAGCCAUUUAUCCAUGGGGAAAAGGCAAAGGCCCCCAUGCCCCUUGAGGCUCAGAGACAUGCCAAAUCCUUCUCAGGAUGGUGUUGAUAGUGUGUGCAGAAAAAGUCUACUCUACCUUUUUCCCUGGCCCCAUCUGGAUAUUUACAGCCUGAAGACUGCUCCCUGCAGAGACUGCUCCUACUGAGAUUAGUUAAAUCUGCCCCUUGUCAUUUACAUAUACAUAGUCCUCCCCUCCUUGUUUAUCUGCAAGUAAUGCCCACCUCCUUGCUGCUGUGUGCAACAAUCCUGCUUCCUGGCCAACUAUAUUAUAAACAUGCUUAGCUUCUGGGAUACUGCAUUUUCUCCAGCCCUUGGACCCAGCCUUCCCCAAGUAUGUGUGUCCAAUCUCAUUCUUCAUUGGACUUGGCAAUCUCAGUCUGCUCCACUUUGAAGGAAGUGCUUACUAAACUGAAUACUAAAGGACACAGUGGAUUAAGCUCCCUAUCAAGUGUCUUUGGUGAGGGUUGGGGUGGGUGUGAGACCAGUUACAUUCUGACUAUUGCAGAAGAGUAAAGGAUUCACAGUUUGCUUUUGGUAAAGGUAAGCUCCCCAAGAGGCUGUCAUUGCCAACCUUUUCCCAAGUCACUUCUAGGAGGUCAACUAACUCCUAGGUGAGUCCUUGGUUACACUGCUUCAGUUUUCUGUGGCUACACUGUCCAAAUGGUACCCACUGCUCACACAUGGCUAUUUGAGAUGAACUAAACUUAGAACUAAAAUCUUCCUCUUUAGUCACAGCAGGCAAAGCAGGAGGCAAACAGCCAGCCAGAAUCCAUAGCCAGAAGCACAGCAGAUAUUGAAUAUUUCUAUCAUCUAGAAAUUACUCAUGGACAGCAGUGGUCUAGGUUCCUGCUGUCUGUUUUUUCCUUCAGGGAGAAUUACUUGCUGUACCAAUAUCCAAAGGUUUAUUAUUAAAACAACUUUACCAAAGUAUGACUUACUAUCCCCUAAAUUAAUCCAGUUUAAGUCUACAAUGCAAUGGUUCCUCAUAAAUCUACCCAAGUUCAUCGCAAGACCACGGAAC